rnacentral:lncRNA from 1 species
GAUCUGUCUCCAGCGGGACCAGAAAACCAUAUGUGGCAAUACUUAUAAACUGCCUCUAGCUAUAUAGAUUAAUACAGAAUCAUCUUUCUUUAUGAGUUUUCCACCAAUAAACAUUUGUAGAUAUAAGCAAAGUGUGUGUUUUAUAACUGCUCCCUGGGCAGUUCUAAAUGACAAAGCAUUCGUGCUGGCAGCACCCUCUACUUCUCACUUACUCCUCCAGGCCUCUGGCGAACACAGGGCUCAGAGGAACUACCUUCUUCAAGAAUCACGGACGUGGCUGGUUUUCUCAGGAAGGGGUCUCGGUUGAGCAUUAAAAUAAAAUGGUGCUUGGUUUUUGUACAGG